ensembl:lncRNA
CUUUUAUCUGUGGAUUAAUUGUUGGAGUAGAGGACCUUGUGCAUUUCAGAUUUGACAGACUACUGCCAGAGGUAGUGAAGUCUAGAGGUAGCAGAUGUGUCCUCUGUCUUGAGGCUGCUGGUCAGUGUGAGUAGAGAACUGAUCUGAGUUUCCCACAGUCCUGUGUGCUGUGAUCAGUGCACUACAAAAACUGCUCAGUGGAGCAUUAGUGACGGCUUUUGACUCUGUGUUGCGCUAUAGGCCGAGCCUGACGUCACAGACCAUCUGGAUUCUGGAGGGAAAAACUACCAUAGGUUCCUUCCAUACUGUUUCACAAGCAUGUAUUUAUUACAUUUUAUUCCAGAAUUGUUUUUUUUUGCAGACUACAUUAAAAUAACAUUAUACUCUAUCUACUCCCUGAUGUUGGGAGCAAUGAUACUUACAGAGCACACGCUCAUCAUCACAUCUUACAUGUGUGAGGCUGACACAGAACCUCUACAUUAAAUGUACAGUGUAACUUAGUCCCCAACUACGGUAUGAAGCCAUUGUUGAAUGUAUAGUGUUUCAAAGCUUUAGCACUUAUUCAGUCACAUUAUAUUAUCUCACAAUGGAUUUUACCGCUGACAAAAAUAUAUGCCUGUAUAUAGAACAAAUAUUUAUAAUGUUCUGUCUUGCUGAAUUUAGUUUCAAUUCCAUUUCUUUCUUUAUUGAGUCAAAUUAGCUUCCACUAAACAACAGAAAUGUUCCUUGUUAAAUGCUAAGUAAUCUCUACACAAGCAGUUCCUGUCAAGACCCUGGGGGAAAUGUUUUUUAAAAUCAGACAUACAUCAAUUAAGAAGGUAGUAAAUACAAACUUUUUGAAUGUCGGAUGAUAUAGACUUGUAUAGCAUAUGGAGGAUCAGAGAGAGUCAAGAUAGGACUAAAUACUUUAGAUCUUUCAAGGAUAUACGUUUUAGAUAUAAACUGUAUCAUCUUUGACUCUACAAUCUGAUCAUGUGUAAUAUAAUGUAUUUCCUGAUCUGUUACUAAUUCCUUUUAAACCUUGUCAUAAUAAAAAAAAACACUUGUGCAGUCCUUAUAAUUCAUUGUCUAAUUUCAACUGGUGAAGCUAAGUUUUACCACUGUCACAUAGCCCCUGAUCCUACAGCCCUGGGUGCAAUAUGUGAAACAUAAAAAUAGCUGCUACCUAGUCAUGAUUUUGUAGCAUUUUG